AGUAAGGUCAGCUAAACAAGCCUUUGGGCCCAUACCCCAAAAAUGAAGGUUUAAACCCUUCCCUCGCUU
rnacentral:tRNA from 1 species